AGUGGCGAACGGGUGAGUAACACGUGGGUGAUCUGCCCUGCACUUUGGGAUAAGCCUGGGAAACUGGGUCUAAUACCGAAUAGGAUCAUGCUCUUCAUGGGGUGUGGUGGAAAGCUUUUGCGGUGUGGGAUGGGCCCGCGGCCUAUCAGCUUGUUGGUGGGGUAAUGGCCUACCAAGGCGACGACGGGUAGCCGGCCUGAGAGGGUGACCGGCCACACUGGGACUGAGAUACGGCCCAGACUCCUACGGGAGGCAGCAGUGGGGAAUAUUACACAAUGGGCGCAAGCCUGAUGCAGCGACGCCGCGUGAGGGAUGACGGCCUUCGGGUUGUAAACCUCUUUCACCAGGGACGAAGCGCAAGUGACGGUACCUGGAGAAGAAGCACCGGCCAACUACGUGCCAGCAGCCGCGGUAAUACGUAGGGUGCGAGCGUUGUCCGGAAUUACUGGGCGUAAAGAGCUCGUAGGUGGUUUGUCGCGUUGUUCGUGAAAACUCACAACUCAAUUGUGGGCGUGCGGGCGAUACGGGCAGACUAGAGUACUGCAGGGGAGACUGGAAUUCCUGGUGUAGCGGUGGAAUGCGCAGAUAUCAGGAGGAACACCGGUGGCGAAGGCGGGUCUCUGGGCAGUAACUGACGCUGAGGAGCGAAAGCGUGGGGAGCGAACAGGAUUAGAUACCCUGGUAGUCCACGCCGUAAACGGUGGGUACUAGGUGUGGGUUCCUUCCUUGGGAUCCGUGCCGUAGCUAACGCAUUAAGUACCCCGCCUGGGGAGUACGGCCGCAAGGCUAAAACUCAAAGGAAUUGACGGGGGCCCGCACAAGCGGCGGAGCAUGUGGAUUAAUUCGAUGCAACGCGAAGAACCUUACCUGGGUUUGACAUGCACAGGACGCCGGCAGAGAUGUCGGUUCCCCUGUGGCCUGUGUGCAGGUGGUGCAUGGCUGUCGUCAGCUCGUGUCGUGAGAUGUUGGGUUAAGUCCCGCAACGAGCGCAACCCUUGUCCUAUGUUGCCAGCGGGUUAUGCCGGGGACUCGUAGGAGACUGCCGGGGUCAACUCGGAGGAAGGUGGGGAUGACGUCAAGUCAUCAUGCCCCUUAUGUCCAGGGCUUCACACAUGCUACAAUGGCCGGUACAAAGGGCUGCGAUGCCGUGAGGUGGAGCGAAUCCUUUCAAAGCCGGUCUCAGUUCGGAUCGGGGUCUGCAACUCGACCCCGUGAAGUCGGAGUCGCUA
rnacentral:rRNA from 1 species